GUACCAUGCUGAAUAUACCGGCCUUCGUUCGAUCACCGAAGUCAAGCAUCAUCGGGCGCGGUCAGUAUUUGGGAAGGCGACAACCUGAGAACACGGCGUGU